CUGACAAAGCUUUUAGUUCAAUUAGGACUUUCCAGUCAAAAAUCAUUGAGCUGAGAGGCUAAAGUAGCAAGCAGCGGACACGAUAGUGUGAAUGAUAGUGUUCUUACUAUUCAUUCCCUAACAACAAGUUAUUAACUUACUAACUCCCUCAAAACUACUCGUAAUUAUAAGGAGAAAUGGAGCAUUUUCGAACAAAGUGAUGGCUACCUGUUACUUUCGUAAAUAUGGCGUCACGUGACGCCCAGCCAGGAUGUAUUUUUCACGCCGCGGGGUCUAAAGAGUCAAGUGCGCAGGUGCGAAGGAGGACACAACCGGAAUCGGGAAGACUAGCUUUCAAAUAAAAGGGUGAGAGGAACGCCAAAUAACUGGACCAAACAUACAAAUUAUGUUUGGAAAUACUUUUCAGAAGAAGAAUAUGUACAUAUAUAGAGAGAACGUGGUUGUCCGAAGUCCCCGAGGGGACAUGGAGAAAAUAUAUUGCCGAAUAAGGUACAGGAGACACUUCCGGUCACAGAUUAAGUCCACAUUGCGAAAGUCGGGUGGAAAUGCGUCAUUCAUCUUCAACAUUUUCCAUCCAUUCCUGUACAAAUGUAGAGGUAUAAAGGGAUACUGUAACUAUAGCAACACGUUUUCAAUUACGUGAUGGUUAUUCUGUUUGUCUUUUGAAAAUAAAAUACGAACGUCCAGUCCCAGCUAGUGUUGCUGGAAACACGUCUCUUUGAGUACUGGUACUGGUACGUUAGUACACUGAUUAGCCAUACGUGGGAUUCUUUCACUUGUGUGCACUGCUUGUCCUACAAGGAAACACUCGCAAACUUGAACAAUGUGUUGCUCUUAAUUUGAAGUCUCUACGCAAACAUCCGCUGUAAAAACGGAAGUAGCGGCUGUGCAACGCUCUUAACGGAAACCAACACUUUUUCCAGAUAACACAAAACAGUUUUGCCUUAUCUCUCAAAAAUCCGUCUUUUUAACCCGUCAGUUUUGUCGUGUGCUCCGAAGUGUUGUGUGUGUGUUUUCCGACUGCGUUUUCGGAUAAUUAUUUUAAGUAUGCCAACGGAAGUGCUCACGAUGACCUGUAGUAAAAGUUGUUAUUCCAGCACGUCUAAAUCAUGUCGGCGGUGGUGAAAGAUUCUUCUGUCAUGACAACAGAAAUCCUGGCCAGAGAGACCCAAUGAGGGAAAAUAACACACAGAAAACCUGUUUACCACCUUCUAAGGCGCCACCCUGGACGGUGCACUUUGUCAAUUCCGAUCAAUAUGCGGAGAGGAUGGCGUGUCGGUGGGAUCUGCUGUCAGAGGGCGACACGGCAAAGAUGAAUCCGUGCACAGAUGCCGUCCGCCGGAUGUGGUGGUUUUUCCACGUUGUGUGGAGGAAGUCAGCGGCCUGGUCCAAAGUCCGCCAUAGCCGAUGCCUUCCCAUCAUCCCGUUUGGUAGCGGAAGCGGCCUGGAGGGAGGGGUCGGAGCAGUGAAGGUGAGGCGUCUGCUUCAGUCUGAGGAAGAUGGAUCACAUUGUGUACCUGCACCAGGAGGAUUUUGAUGUGACGGUGGAGCCCGGUGUGACCCGGAAGACUCUCAAUGCCGACCUGCGGGACACAGGACUCUGGUUUCCUGUUGGUCAGUCCAACUCUUAGCAGGCUCAUGACCACCGAAUUACAGCCAUUCUCUCCCAAUACAUGACAUUGCUGGAUUUAUCUGAUCACAACUUGACGUUUCCUAAACCAAGAUGGCUGAUUUCAGUAAUGGCAGCCAGUUUUUAGCAUACAAUUAGCAAAUAGACUCCUCCCUCGUUGAUGGCGGUUCAUUUGGACCACACCCCCCACCAUAUACUGGAGCAUUCAAUGUUAAUAAAUGGAAUAUUUUAAUAGUUGCAUCAUAGAAAACCUGUUUAGGACUUUCUAAAUAUGCUUUUUAACAUGAUUAGAGCCCUCUAGACAUGAAAUAACACCCCUAUAGUCACCUUUACACUCCUAUUACCCAAUGUAGUAAACAUAAUAAGAGAAAAUGAGACCUAGAAAACCCGUUCCCCACCUUCUAAAUACACUUUUUAACAUGAUGAGAGACCACUGCUGAAGUAAAACAACAUGAAGGCCAGAAAACAUGUUGAUGACCCCAGGACCUUUGGGAAAACACUCUGGUCUGACCUGGAAGCAUAAAACAAACAAACAAUCAUAAAAUCAUUCCCACGUGACUGUGUUUUCUUCCGGCUGCGUGUGGGGGAAGCCCCCAUUCCCAUACCCCUCCUUUCCUAACGACCCCCCUCCACCCCCACCACCCCCAAGACAUCCUCCGGCCUUAUCUGGGUGUGUCUCAGCAUGUGUGACUGGGGCCCCCAAUACCGCCCCCUCCGGCCUGUCUGUGUGUCUCAAACAUGGAGUUUUCCCAUUGAAACAAUAUAAACACCAUAAUAAUAAUACUGCUAAAACAGUCAAAACAUUGCAUCCUUAGCUCACACGUCCCCAUUCAAACCAUUUAAAUCAGCCAAUUGCAAAGACAGUCAAAACACUGAAAACACUUUUUUA